AUUCCUAAACCAAGGGAUGGUGCCAACCAGGGGCUGAUGUCUCCCUGUGGAGGAGGGGGAAGACAGCAGACACCCACUUGGUACAUGUGGGCAAGGGGCAUGGGAAAGGUCGUGAAGCACAGGGACAUCACAGGUCACACGGGAAAGGCCACGCCUCUUCCUCAGUCCACCUGGCUCCUGGACCCGUGGCCUGUGACUAGCUAGGGGCAAGCACCCAAGGGUGGGCUGCCUUGGGGAGGGGAGAUCCACUCAGCUUUCCCUACGGUUUCUUGAGCUGGUCUUGAGCAUGCAGGCAAGACUGGACCUCUUGACAUGUUCCCAAAAGAGAGGAGAAAAAAGUGAUCCCCGUUUGCUUUGCGUUUGAGGUGGGGCAUGCACCCAGUUCAAGGCUGCUCUGCGUGAGCCGGGAGGAAGGCUCCUUACAGCAACGCUUCACUGAGUCACAGCUCACAGGCUCUGACUGCCUCUCUGGAACUCAUGGCUGCUGGAAACUUGUCCUCUCCCUGCCUUGGAGCUCUCUCGAGCCUUGUUCAUCAAUGAAGGAAGUCAGUCCAGACAGGAACUCAAGCUGGCCAGGAACCUGGAGUCUGCAGAGGCCACAGAGAGAAGGAGCUCACUGAACGCCGCCGGCCCCAGCACCCCUCUGGUGGGUGCUUAGUGGCCUGCCCGUCCUCACCGACCUGCCAUACUGGAGCCCUCAGUGAGUGGCAGGAACCCAGCUCAUCUCACCCAGCCUCUGUCCUCAGGAGAGCUGAUUCCUGGGGCAUGGGGGGCAGGUCCUGCUGGCCAGGCCUCUGUGUGCAUGUGGCCUGGUGGCCCUGUGGCUGGCCUGACUUACUGGCUUGUGCACUCACUCUGCUGGGCUCUCAGACAUGCUGUCCUCCCUGUACCUGGCCCCACCUUUCCUUUAGUGCUACGUUUGUUCAGACAGAGACACCAGCUCCUCUUUCUGCAGCGGCUUCUUUGUGGGACCUGCAAGCCUGGCAAAGCACCGGGCAGACUCACCUGCCGGGGCAGAGGUGCCAUGGCUAUGUCCCCUUAGCAUCCUAGAGGAAGGCACAAUGGAUGACAUCACUAUCAGACAAACCACUGAGAACUUUAAAACUGCCAUCUUCUGCUUUAUUGACAGGUAAAUUGUUCAAAAAUGUUCUCACAAUUCAAUAAUUACAAAGACUCAGACUUACAUUAAAAAAGUAAAAACCAGAACCCCCAGCAGGUGCCUGCCCCGGCACAAAGCCGGGGAGGGUGGGUGGGGCAGGCAGCAGGUGCUGGGUGUGACACGCAGGCUUAGCCUGCAGUGCCACCACCCUCAGUGCCAACUUGGGCCAAGUGCUCACCCUGAAUCGCGCCACCAAGCACACCAAUGGGGAAGGGAGGCCUGUCCAAGAUGAGGACAAGACAUGUCUGCUGCCACAGUUAAUCGCAAGCCUUCACAGGCAGGGCCACCGACCUGAUCACUAGCCCAGGAUACAGGAAGGGAUGAAGUUCAACACUGGUGGCACUCCCGGGCCUGGUGCUGCAGAUGUGCAGGAGUGUAGGGCGAUUCUGUGACACAGAGGCUCCAUGCAGGGUGAUGGGGUGUCACAGGGCCUGGGGCGCAACUUCCCAGGCUCUGGCUGCCUCUGAACUCAGCAGGCCAUGGGCCUGCCUCUCCCACUGUGCUGGCCUGGGGCUGGCUGCAGACACAGCAGGAGGGUCAUCUCGUGGCUGUGGCCCAGAAUAGACGGCCGGCCACAGGGACACAGGUGGCCGGCCACAAACUACCCUCUGCCUUCUGUGGCACUGGGAUGGCGCACUUUAGUCUUUGUAGGGUUGAGACAUUUUCAGGAGAGAGGGAAGGUCUUGAGGCCAUACCCCAGCAUCUGCUGAGGAAGCCGGUGGAUGUGGGCCUGGGUGGUCCCGGGGGGAGGGGUGAGUGGUGGUCCUUCAUGUGCAAACGGAACAGUGUUGCCUCGCGGCUGUGCAGACGAACACAUCUGGUCGAUUGCCACCAACAAUGUGGCACAAAACUGAUCAUUAUAAUAAAGAUUAUUUUAUCUAUCU
rnacentral:lncRNA from 1 species